CCUACGGGAGGCAGCAGGGAGGAAUAUUGGUCAAUGGACGAGAGUCUGAACCAGCCAAGUAGCGUGAAGGAUGACUGCCCUAUGGGUUGUAAACUUCUUUUAUAUGGGAAUAAAAUGUUCCACGUGUGGGAUUUUGUAUGUACCAUAUGAAUAAGGAUCGGCUAACUCCGUGCCAGCAGCCGCGGUAAUACGGAGGAUCCGAGCGUUAUCCGGAUUUAUUGGGUUUAAAGGGAGCGUAGGUGGAUUGUUAAGUCAGUUGUGAAAGUUUGCGACUCAACCGUAAAAUUGCAGUUGAAACUGGCAGUCUUGAGUACAGUAGAGGUGGGCGGAAUUCGUGGUGUAGCGGUGAAAUGCUUAGAUAUCACGAAGAACUCCGAUUGCGAAGGCAGUUCACUGGACUGCAACUGACACUGAGGCUCGAAAGUGUGGGUAUCAAACAGGAUUAGAUACCCUUGUAGUC
rnacentral:rRNA from 1 species